rnacentral:rRNA from 1 species
UCAGGAUGAACGCUGGCGGCGCGCUUAACACAUGCAAGGUCGAACGGCUAAAGCACCUCCGGGUGUGCAUAAAGUGGCGAACGGCUGAGUAACACGUGGGCAACCUGCCCCCCGCACCGGGAUAGCCUCGGGAAACCGUGGGUAAUACCGGAUACUCCGCCACCCCCGCAUGGGGGAGGCGGGAAAGCGUACACGGCGGGGGAUGGGCCCGCGGGCCUGUUAGCUCGUUGGCGGGGUAACGGCCCACCAAGGCGAUUAUGGGUAGCCGGGUUGAGAGACCGACCGGCCAGAUUGGGACUGAGACACGGCCCAGACUCCUACGGGAGGCAGCAGUGGGGAAUCUUGCACAAUGGGCGAAAGCCUGAUGCAAGCGACGCCGCGUGCGGGAUGAAGGCCCUCGGGUUGUAAACCGCUUUCAGCAGGGACGAGGCGCAAGUGACGGUACCUGCAGAAGAAGCCCCGGCUAACUACGUGCCAGCCGCUGC